ACUCCUACGGGAGGCAGCAGUGGGGAAUUUUGGACACUGGGCGAAAGCCUGAUCCAGCAAUGCCGCGUGAGUGAAGAAGGCCUUCGGGUUGUAAAGCUCUUUUGUCAGGGAAGAAACGGUGAAAGCUAAUAUCUUUUGCUAAUGACGGUACCUGAAGAAUAAGCACCGGCUAACUACGUGCCAGCAGCCGCGGUAAUACGUAGGGUGCAAGCGUUAAUCGGAAUUACUGGGCGUAAAGCGUGCGCAGGCGGUUUUGUAAGUCUGAUGUGAAAUCCCCGGGCUCAACCUGGGAAUUGCAUUGGAGACUGCAAGGCUAGAAUCUGGCAGAGGGGGGUAGAAUUCCACGUGUAGCAGUGAAAUGCGUAGAUAUGUGGAGGAACACCGAUGGCGAAGGCAGCCCCCUGGGUCAAGAUUGACGCUCAUGCAGGAAAGCGUGGGGAGCAAACAGGAUUAGAAACCCCAGUAGUCCC
rnacentral:rRNA from 1 species